rnacentral:rRNA from 1 species
UACGAAGGGUGCAAGCGUUACUCGGAAUUACUGGGCGUAAAGCGUGCGUAGGUGGUCUUUUAAGUCCGUUGUGAAAGCCCUGGGCUCAACCUGGGAAUGGCAGUGGAUACUGGGAGGCUGGAGUACGGUAGAGGAGGGUGGAAUUCCCGGUGUAGCGGUGAAAUGCGUAGAGAUCGGGAGGAACAUCAGUGGCGAAGGCGGCCCUCUGGACAGUUCCUGACACUGAGACACGAAGGCCAGGGGAGCAAACGGG